GCCUGAGUGGCUUAGUUGGUUAGGUGUCUGACUUCCGCUCAGGUCAUGAUCUCACAGUUUGUGGGUUCGAGCCCCGUGUCAGGCU
rnacentral:tRNA from 1 species